UACGUAGGGUGCAAGCGUUGUCCGGAAUUACUGGGCGUAAAGAGCUCGUAGGCGGUUUGUCGCGUCGUCUGUGAAAUCCCGCAGCUCAACUGCGGGCUUGCAGGCGAUACGGGCAGACUUGAGUACUGCAGGGGAGACUGGAAUUCCUGGUGUAGCGGUGAAAUGCGCAGAUAUCAGGAGGAACACCGGUGGCGAAGGCGGCUCGCUGGGCCAGUUCUGACACUCAUCCGCGAAAGCGUGGGGAGCAAACAGG
rnacentral:rRNA from 1 species